rnacentral:rRNA from 1 species
UACGGGAGGCAGCAGGGGGAAUAUUGCACAAUGGGCGCAAGCCUGAUGCAGCCAUGCCGCGUGUAUGAAAAAGGCCUUCGGGUUGUAAAGUACUUUCAGUCGUGAGGAAGGUGUUAAGGUUAAUAACCUUAGCAAUUGACGUUAGCGACAGAAGAAGCACCGGCUAACUCCGUGCCAGCAGCCGCGGUAAUACGGAGGGUGCGAGCGUUAAUCGGAAUUACUGGGCGUAAAGGGCACGCAGGCGGUUAAUUAAGUUGGAUGUGAAAUCCCCGGGCUUAACCUGGGAAUGGCAUUCAAGACUGGUUAGCUAGAGUCUUGUAGAGGGGGUAGAAUUCCAUGUGUAGCGGUGAAAUGCGUAGAGAUGUGGAGGAAUACCGGUGGCGAAGGCGGCCCCUGGCAAAGACUGACGCUCAUGUGCGAAAGCGUGGGGAGCAAACAGGGAUUAGAUACC